UCUCCGGGCCACCAGCGACUGCCGACGCUAGCCGAUCGACACACCAGCAGCAAGAGCACCGACGACAGCGCCAGCGUCGACAUCUCUGGCGGCGAUAUCACGAGGCGGGAGUCCAGAAAGAGGAAGAGGAAUGAAAUCGAGAUGAAUAUGGAUAUGCUGAGGAUCAAGGAAUUUGCUGUCUCCCCCGAAAACGAUCAACCGACUCCGGACAUCAGCGGAUACAACGCCGGCGAAGAGUUCACCAGAGACAACGGCACCGCCAUCGGCGGAAACAACACGGAAGGGGACAACAACUCCGGAGGACAGAAGAAAACGGUGAUGCUGAGAACCAAGUUAAAAGAAUUCGGAAUUUGAAUGGACAUAGCAUAGGCCCUUACCAAAUACAUGCUGGAAAAUCUGUUCCAAUUGUAAAAGGUGGUGAGCAGGCAAAGAUGGAGGAGGGUGAAUUUUUUACAAUUGAGACUUUUGGAGGAGGGAGAUAUGAAGGGAGAGGAGGUGACCAUCAAGGUCAUUCCCAAAGCUAAGUAGAAAGGCAAAAAGGUGGUUGUGAUUGGUGGGGGCUAUAUUGGCAUGGAAGUUGCUACUGCAACCAUUGGAUGGAAUCUUGAUACCACUGUUAUUCACUCCUUCGCUCGCUCGGAGAUAUGACGAUCUUUAUUCUGAAACUGGCAUCAAAAUAUUAAAGUUGACUGCGUCGCACAUAGAGCCAUCGAGUAUAACACUAUACCAGUUUGGUAACACCUUGAUCAGUUCUCUUUGUUAUGAAUUGGCUUAUGCUGAGUCUAAAGGGAGGAUGAAGAGGGGAAACAGAGUGUGGAAGAUUGCAUUUGGGUCUGUCUUCAAGUGUAAUAGCACAGUCUGGAGAGCGUUGAUGACGGUGAAUCCUGCAAAAGAGAAGAAUCAGUGGAUGGCUGCGAUUGAUAAGUUUACUGUGGAGGUUCCUAGAGUUGCUGCAAUUUGAAAUAUCUGAUACUGGUUAUUGUUUGGAGUUAAUGGAAUUUGUUUCAAAUAUUAGUUAUGUUAGUUUUAACAAUGUUGUGGGAACAAAGCAGGCAUUAUCUUCCCUAGUGAGAUUUUUAGAUGCAAGGGAGAAAUUAGGUAGGUUAAUGUGUAUUUGGUCAGAGAGAGGUUGUAGCAGAAUCAACAAUGGCUGCAUUGUGAUACCCGUGAUCUUGUAUUUGAUUUA